rnacentral:rRNA from 1 species
CCUACGGGAGGCAGCAGUGGGGGAUAUUGCACAAUGGGGGAAACCCUGAUGCAGCGACGCCGCGUGGGUGAAGAAGCGCCUCGGCGCGUAAAGCCCUGUCAGCAGGGAAGAAAAUGACGGUACCUGAAGAAGAAGCCCCGACUAACUACGUGUCAGCAGCCGCGGUAAUACGUAGGGGGAAAGCGUUAUCCGGAUUUACUGGGUGUAAAGGGGGCGCAGACGGCGAUGCAAGCCAGGAGUGAAAGCCCGGGGCCCAACCCCGGGACUGCUCUUGGAACUGCGUGGCUAGAGUGCAGGAGGGGCAGGCGGAAUUCCUGGUGUAGCGGUGAAAUGCGUAGAUAUCAGGAGGAACACCGGUGGCGAAGGCGGCCUGCUGGACUGCAACUGACGUUGAGGCCCGAAAGCGUGGGGAGCAAACAGGAUUAGAUACCCGAGUAGUC